UGUUUUAUUAUUCUAUAUGUUAUGUAUAUAAAUUCAUUUUUAUCUUAAAUGUAAAUUGCCAGCAAACAUUUCCAUGGCCCGUGGCGAUUGGCGCUUAUAACUCAAUUAUUAUGACUCGGUUACCAUGAAAAUGAAGCUGCUGCUCAGAGUUUACGCGCAAUUUUCAGAUGAGCCAGGGAUUUAAUUAAAAAGAACAACCUGAUUGAGCUUAUAUACAAGUCUGGAGAAGCGUAGACCUGUUCCUUAUCGGGAGAACUAUAAAAAUAGUGUUGGAAAUCAUUUGCUUAAAAUUAUUGUCGAUUGUUCAUGCUGAGAACUUAUUGGAAAUGAGCAAGAAGCAUCUGCAAGCCCAUAAGCACCUCAGUCUGAACUCUGGAGCUCGAAGUGUAUCAGCGUUUCGGCCGAGUUACGUGAGUUUUUGACAAUCUCGACGCCCGUUUGAUUGUCGUGUAUGUGAAAGACAUGAUAGCCGGCGAUGGCGCCAUUCUGAUUCUUUGGCGGAUGCCAGGACAUUGUGAUGCUGUUCGCGGAGACAUCCAAGACGGUGAGAUUCUGAGGCUUGCUUGGCACUGCAAAAGAUAAAAGACAGAGAAAAAGUUGUUAAGCAUUACUUUAAGAUCUUGAGAGGACAGCUCUGAAUCCUUGAAGGUUGACAAUCAUAGAAAACUUUCUCUGAGCGGAGCAGCAAGUACUACACACACACACACACACAUACAAAUACAUAUAAAUUAUUUAUUAAACAACAAAU